rnacentral:rRNA from 1 species
GCGCAGCAGGCGCGAAACUUCACACUGUGCGAAAGCACGAUGAGGGAAUCCCAAGUGCUUGCACGUAAGUGUAAGCUGUUUCUCUGUCUAAAACGCAGAGAGAGUAAGGGCUGGGUAAGACGGGUGCCAGCCGCCGCGGUAAUACCUGCAGCUCAAGUGGUGACCGUUAUUAUUGGGGCCUAAAACGUCCGUAGCCGGUUUAAUAAAUGCCUGGGGUAAAUUGUGUAGCUUAACUAUACGAAUUCCGGGUAGACUGUUAAACUUGAGACCGGGAGAAGUUAGAGGUACUCCUGGGGUAGAGGUGAAAUUCUGUAAUCCUAGGGGGACCACCAGUGGCGAAGGCGUCUAACUAGAACGGGUCUGACGGUGAGGGACGAAGCCCUGGGGGCGCAAACGGGGAUUAGAUACCCGCGUAGU